CCUAUAAGACUGGGAUAACUUCGGGAAACCGGAGCUAAUACCGGAUAACAUUUGGAACCGCAUGGUUCUAAAGUGAAAGAUGGUUUUGCUAUCACUUAUAGAUGGACCCGCGCCGUAUUAGCUAGUUGGUAAGGUAACGGCUUACCAAGGCGACGAUACGUAGCCGACCUGAGAGGGUGAUCGGCCACACUGGAACUGAGACACGGUCCAGACUCCUACGGGAGGCAGCAGUAGGGAAUCUUCCGCAAUGGGCGAAAGCCUGACGGAGCAACGCCGCGUGAGUGAUGAAGGGUUUCGGCUCGUAAAACUCUGUUAUUAGGGAAGAACAAAUGUGUAAGUAACUGUGCACGUCUUGACGGUACCUAAUCAGAAAGCCACGGCUAACUACGUGCCAGCAGCCGCGGUAAUACGUAGGUGGCAAGCGUUAUCCGGAAUUAUUGGGCGUAAAGCGCGCGUAGGCGGUUUCUUAAGUCUGAUGUGAAAGCCCACGGCUCAACCGUGGACGGUCAUUGGAAACUGGGAAACUUGAGUGCAGAAGAGGAAAGUGGAAUUCCAUGUGUAGCGGUGAAAUGCGCAGAGAUAUGGAGGAACACCAGUGGCGAAGGCGACUUUCUGGUCUGUAACUGACGCUGAUGUGCGAAAGCGUGGGGAUCAAACAGGAUUAGAUACCCUGGUAGUCCACGCCGUAAACGAUGAGUGCUAAGUGUUAGGGGGUUUCCGCCCCUUAGUGCUGCAGCUAACGCAUUAAGCACUCCGCCUGGGGAGUACGACCGCAAGGUUGAAACUCAAA
rnacentral:rRNA from 1 species